rnacentral:rRNA from 1 species
AGAGUUUGAUCCUGGCUCAGAUUGAACGCUGGCGGCAGGCCUAACACAUGCAAGUCGAACGGUAGCACAGAGGAGCUUGCUCCUUGGGUGACGAGUGGCGGACGGGUGAGUAAUGUCUGGGAAACUGCCCGAUGGAGGGGGAUAACUACUGGAAACGGUAGCUAAUACCGCAUAACGUCGCAAGACCAAAGAGGGGGACCUUCGGGCCUCUUGCCAUCGGAUGUGCCCAGAUGGGAUUAGCUAGUAGGUGGGGUAACGGCUCACCUAGGCGACGAUCCCUAGCUGGUCUGAGAGGAUGACCAGCCACACUGGAACUGAGACACGGUCCAAACUCCUACGGGAGGCAGCAGUGGGGAAUCUUGCACAAUGGGGGAAACCCUGAUGCAGCGACGCCGCGUGAGCGAUGAAGGUUUUCGAAUCGUAAAGCUCUGUC